rnacentral:rRNA from 1 species
GCAGCCAUCAUUUAAAGAAAGCGUAAUAGCUCACUGGUCGAGUCGGCCUGCGCGGAAGAUGUAACGGGGCUAAACCAUGCACCGAAGCUGCGGCAGCGAACGUAUCACUUAAAGCGAUUCAGCGGAUUACGAUUGACGGAGCGAAGCGACGUCAAAGCGUAUACAAAGUCGAGUCGGUUUAAGGAUACGUUCGUUGGGUAGGGGCGCGUUUUGUAAGCCUGUGAUGGUGGCCUGGGAGGGUUGCUGGAGGUAU